GAAUUGUUCGCAAUGGGCGCAAGCCUGACGACGCAACGCCGCGUGGAGGAUGAAGACCUUCGGGUCGUAAACUCCUUUCGAUCGAGACGAACGGCCUCCGGGUGAACAAUCCGGAGGAGUGACGGUACCGAGAGAAGAAGCCCCGGCUAACUCCGUGCCAGCAGCCGCGGUAAUACGGGGGGGGCAAGCGUUGUUCGGAAUUACUGGGCGUAAAGGGCUCGUAGGCGGCCAACUAAGUCGGACGUGAAAUCCCUCGGCUUAACCGGGGAACUGCGUCUGAUACUGGAUGGCUCGAGUUCGGGAGAGGGAUGCGGAAUUCCAGGUGUAGCGGUGAAAUGCGUAGAUAUCUGGAGGAACACCGGUGGCGAAGGCGGCAUCCUGGACCGGCAUUGACACUGAGGAGCGAAAGCCAGGGGAGCAAACGGG
rnacentral:rRNA from 1 species